GUCCCCACUAAGCAACCCCCAAAGCUAGCUCUCCCCUCCCCUCCCCUCCCCUCCCUUGCGAUCGGAGAUCCCGCGAUGCAGGCCCCAGCGCCCCCUUCCUCCGUCGACCUGCCGCUGGCGGCGCCGCCGCCGCCGGUGAAGGCGCCGACCCCGCGUCCGCCCCCGCCGGCCUCGCUCCAGCCCGAGUCCCCGGGGGUCUUCUUCUCCGCGGCGGCGGCCGCGCUGCCCUCGGGCUCCGCCCACCGCCGCAUCGCCAUCGCCGUCGACCUCUCCGACGAAUCCGCCUACGCCGUGCGCUGGGCCGUCGCCAACUACCUUCGCCCCGGGGACGCCGUCGUCUUGCUCCACGUGCGCCCCACCUCCGUGCUCUACGGCGCCGACUGGGGCGCCGUCGACGUCUCCCUCCCCAACCCUAGAGACGGCGACGAGGGCGACGACGACGACGAGGCCGCCGCGCGCAGGAUGGAGGAUGACUACGACGCCUUCACGGCCUCCAAGGCCGACGACCUCGCCAGGCCGCUCAAGGACGCGGGCAUCCCCUAUAAGAUCCACAUCGUCAAGGACCACGACAUGAAGGAGCGCCUCUGCCUCGAGGUCGAGAGGCUCGGGCUCAGCGCGGUCAUCAUGGGGAGCAAGGGCUUCGGCGCCUCGCGGAGGACCAGCAAGGGGAGGCUCGGUAGCGUCAGCGACUACUGUGUCCACCACUGUGUCUGCCCCGUCGUGGUGGUGCGCUUCCCUGACGAAGGCUCCUCGGAGGAUGGGGAGGCUGGUGGCCUGUCGUCAGCGGUGGGUGCGGAGGAUGUGCUGCACCCUGUGCCCGAGGAGGAUGCCGAGUACCAUGAUGCUACUGAGGAGCACAAGGGUAACUGAUUUAAUACUUGAUUGUGUUGAUGAAUUGUGAAGUGAAGUGCACUUGGAUCCAGGUGAUGUAGGUAGAGGUGCAGGCUAAAUGACGCUGUUUAAAUGAAGUAUCUACUAUAACUUGUGAAGUUUGACGAUAGCUAACAAUUGCCCAGAGCCACAAUUGUUAAGUUUGACGAUAUUAACAAUCGUCAAACGGUGAUCUACCUAUUGAUCAUUUUCAUAUCCAAAGACUACAGCUACAAUUGGCAAACUUGGAUACCAGGGCAAAUGUUAUAUUAAUAUAUGCCAAACUUAUUACAUAGAGUCGAGAGUCAGCCUUGAUACUUUUAUUAGUAACUUAGCUCCCUUUUGUUUGACCAACUUUGUGUCAUUUGACAAGAGUUUCAGUAUAAUGAUGGUUCUAUGGCAUCCCAGCCUCCAACC